CAGUAUUCUUGUAAUAUUUUGUUUAAAGCACACCAGAGGCGGUAGGAAUACCAGCUGAUGUUCACCUCUGGUCCUACGGCACCUACUUAAUUGAGGCAAUAAAUCAAAAUACAGCAUCGCCCAGGAGAAAAAAACGUGAUUAUAUGCAUGAGAAAUCUGAAACAUUAAAGCUCAAAACAGCUGUAAUUUCUGCUCUAGACUACUGGGUAUUUCAAGCAAGAGCAUAAUUAUUAACUCAUAAAACCUUCUGGCCUAACUACAGCAGUAAAAUAUUAAUCUUUCAAUCUAUUAAUAUUUUGAAAAGGUAAAGACAGACAACAUUUUCCUUUACUGUUUUGUGUUACAUAUCAGCUGUGAUCAAACAGACCUGCUGGUUUUACCUCGACCAAACCCCAGCAGGAGAGAUUUGAAGCGCGUCAUCUUCAGAAGCCCCACUUAGAACAGCCAUGCUGUCUGAGAACUGCCAGACAGACAACCUGAGCUUUUAGUAACCCAGACUGGACCUGCUGCUGAACUGAGAAAGUGUGGUCUGGACGAUCAGGUGGUGAGGUGGACUGUGAACUGGCUGAAGGAAACAAGCCAAAGAGUUGUGGCCCACGGGGCAGAGUCCGGUUGGAGGCCUGUAUCUGGUGGAGUGCCUCAAGGGUCAGUACUGGGACCAGUACUAUUCAAUGUAUUCAACAAUGACUUGGAUGUGUCAGUAGAGUGUGAUAUCAGCAAGUUUGCUGAUGACACCAAGCUGGGAGGAGUGGCUGACACGCCAGAAGGCUGUGCUGCCAUCCAGCGAGACCUGGACAGGCUAGAGAGCUGGGCGGGGAAAAAUUUAAUUAAAUAUAACAAGGGCAAGUGUAGAGUCUUGCAUCUGGGCAGGAACAACCCCAGGUUCCAGUAUAAGUUGGGGAAUGACCUGUUAGAGAGCAGUGUAGGGGAAAGGGACCUGGGGGUCCUGGUGGACAGCAGGAUGACCAUGAGCCAGCACUGUGCCCUUGUGGCCAGGAAGGCCAAUGGCAUCCUGGGGUGUAUUAGAAGGGGGGUGGUUAGUAGAUCGAGAGAGGUUCUUCUCUCCCUCUACUCCGCCCUGGUGAGACCACAUCUGUAAUAUUGUGUCCAGUUCUAGGCCUCUCAGUUCAAGAAGGACAGGGAACUGCUGGAGAGAGUCCAGUGUAGGGCAACAACGAUGAUUAAGGGAGUGGAGCAUCUCCCUUAUGAGGAAAGGCUGAGGGAGCUGGGGCUCUUUAGCUUGGAGAAGUGGAGACUGAGGUGUGACCUCAUUAAUGUGUAUAAAUAUGUAAAGGGUGAGUGUCACGAGGAUGGAGCCAGGCUCUUCUCAGUGACAACCAAUGAUACGACAAGGGACAGUGGGUUCAAACUGGAACACAAAAGGUUCCAUUUAAAUAUGAGAAUAAACUUCUUCAUGGUGAGGGUUCCAGAGCACUGGAACAGGCUGCCCAGGAAGGUUGUGGAGUCUCCUUCUCUGGAGACAUUCAAAACCGCCUGGACACAUUCCUGUGUAACCUCAUCUAGGUGUUCCUGCUCCGGCAGGGGGAUUGGACUGGAUGAUCUUUCGAGGUCCCUUCCAAUCCCUGACAUUCUGUGAUUCUGUGAACUAUAACCCAGGUACUGGAGCAGGAACUUGGAUGCCUGACAAGUUCACUGUCAGGUAUUAACUUGUUUAUUGGAAAGUUACUCUUCUGUAUGUCCUAGUACCAGGUAUGAUUUUGAAAGUAUUGUCAUACUGGGUGUUGCAGAGGAGAGAUGUAGGGUUCUUACAGCAGAACAAUGUUUAGAUCGCUCAAAGGAAAUUGCGACUUAAGAGAGUUUGGUGGCAGGUUCACUCUGUUAUUUGCUGCUUGGAGGAAAUAUGCCAGGCUGUGGCAGAUGCACUCAACUCCCCCCCCAGCCAAACCAACAGCAGUUUGGUCCAGGCUCCAGAGAAGGGAAAGGCCUGAGCAGUAGCCAGGCUAAAAACUCCUUCUAGGAAACCCACAAGGAGGCAGACGAGCAGCUGAACACCAAUAAGUUAGGGGUACAAGGAGUAUGCAAUUCAGCUACGAGUCAACCGCUUUAUUCUAUAAAUAUGACAGCCUGGGUGAGCCCAGUUUGAGCUCUCUCUCUGCUAAAUAAGCUGGCUGUACGUUGAUGGUUUUUACUACUCUCCUACUCAUCUACUAUCAGUAGAUGGCCCUAAUUUAAGUUUCAUAUCAAUCAUUAAGUCAGUGCGUACUGAAUAGAAUGAAUCACCUGAAAUUAUAAGGUGGUGUGAUUUUUAAUAUACUCUCUGCUUUAUGUUACUUAGUAAGCUGACUUUGCCAAAAUCUUAAGCUGUAAAAUUCUGUUCAAAACGGCUACAGACUGCACUGAACACCUGCAAGAUAAGGUCUGGUUCACACUUUGCUGGAAGAAUGAAAUGGACUGGGGAGAAAAUAACGUCUUCAAGGCUAAUGUGAAGAUGUUACAGACAUCUGCAAAACAGGGCCCAUUUUUCACUUUGCUAAGAAAAGGAUUUAUUCAGAUAAAACAGCACCUUCAAGGCUAUGGACUAUAAACAAUAUAUACAGCUAAACAAAGCAAAGGCCUAUCUGAGAUCAGAGGAGAAGAUCCAAUGAGAAGCAAGGAGACCCCACACUCAAAUAUUGCUGUUAGACUGAAUCAUGGUGUAAAUGGUCUGGGAAAAUAUAAAAAUCUAUGAUUCUUCAUGCUUGGCUGGACCUCUGUGCCGGUACCCAGCUUAAGCCAGCCCUCCUGCUGUUCUGUUCCUUUUUUAUUAUUAUUUCCACGUAUUCUGUUGCCUGAAAGUUUGUUCCAUGAACAGUUAUCAGGCCUCGCCUGAGAGUUUGCCUUCAGAGUCCUAGAGUACAGAGUCCAGAGCGAACCCUGAAAGUUUGCUCCAUGAGUGGUUAUCAGGUAGGAAAAUGCCUGAAAGUUUACUCUGUGAACAGUUAUCAGGCUCCUGGAAGGAAGGUGAGCAGCUUUUGGCUUUGCAUAUUUCCUCCAUGCAGUAACUGUGAACCCACCACCGAACUCUUCUAAGUCGUACUUUUCUUUGAGAGAUCUAAACAUCCCUCUGUGGUGAGCAGAACCCUAAAUUGCUCCCCUGCAACAAAUUGGUGUCAGAAUUGGGAUGGCAGGCAUUAUCACUGAUUAUUUACAUAGGCAUGGGGUGAUUUCAAGUCCUAAGUUCUCAGAGGAAUGGGUUCAUGUUAAUUGGCAUGAUUGGAAAGCUGUGGAAGAACAGCUAAUGGCAACCAGGGGCCGUACAAAGGACGGAAAGGGAAUUAUUUGCAAAAUGUUAAGUAGAAGCCACAUGUCGGGAGUGGGAGAACCUUUAAUAGAGAAAAACAGGACAGGAAAACUGCUGAACUAUUACUGUCCUUGGGAACUGAGCAGCUGCAGAAUCAGGAGAAGAAAAGGAGAAGAAACAAAAGAGUAAAAAAUUGAAAUGAUACUUAUUUGGGCUUCUCAUCCCCCUGAUAUUCUACAUAUUAAGAAACUAAUUGUGUCUCCUGAAGAAUGGGAUGAGAAUAUUUGGUGUGAAUCCUCAGACUCUCAUAUUGAGUUGGAUCUUGCCUUAAAAAGCAGGGAGGUGGUGAGAGCACAAUCCCCCAUACAAAUGAUGCGGCAGCAAGAAUAAGCAGAUGGGGAGGGACAGAUCAUGCAUACUUGUGCUCUGAAAGAGUUAAGGGAAUUUUUAGACAUCUCUCAGUAGACGAGGGAGAAAGGAAUUCUAGCAUGGGUUUUGUGAACUCAGGUUAGUGGAGUUUUAUCUAUCAAUUUUUUAGCAGAUGAAAGUGAUUUGUAAAACUGUGUAGCCAAUGAUUAUCAGAUACAAUGAGGAUAUGCUCAGCUGCAAAAUGUCAGAGGUCCUGAUGGGUGAGAUUUUAUUGCAGGUAUGGUAUAUCAAUGAUUAUGUGCAGCAGUUUUAACAGCAUAUGCUGAACCUGUUGAAUUGUUGUUCCUUGGAAAUUGGUGUACAAUGGAGGAAGGUAUUAGUUUAGUGCAGCAGAUGGUGAUGGCUUAUGCAUUGAUUAUGAGAGCUGAUCCGGACGGAGUAGCAGUGACAAGAAGAAUUGAAAUGCAGCUUUUGAGAGGAGUGCCUGCCCCACUAAAACCUGUGACUAUACCGGCAGUGACAAAUGCUACGGGUAAAUAUAGGUGCAAAUACCUCAAGGGAAAUUUGGGUUAUAACUUUGGAACCCUUUGUUUGGGUGGUGAAUGAAGGAAAGCUGCCAAUGCUGUACCCACACCCCACUCUGCCUGCUGCCUCUAGUGCAGGACCAGUUUGCCUUUAUCGGGCAACAAAAACAAUAUACUUUGCAAGUGUUGCCUCAGAAAUACAAACAUAGUCCUUCCGUUUGCUGCCAAAUGAUAGUAGCUGAUACAGCACUGUGGUCAGAUACCAUUAGCGUGUGCCAUUAUAUUGACAAUCUAUUGAUUAUGAAAGUUUCUCAACAAGAAACUGAAGCAGCUGCCGAAUUUCUCAAAGUGCAUUUACAAGACCAAGGUUGGACAAUUAAUCUGAAUAAAACUUAGGGUCCUAGUGCUACUGUACUAUUUUUAGGAACAGUUUGGCACGGACAGCUUAGAGAAGAACCAGAUAAGGUACAGCACACAGUCCAGCAGUUUUCUGUACCAGCUGCAGUAAAGCAAUUGCAUGCUUUCUUGGGAUUUUUAGGGCAUUGGAGAACUUUUAUCCCUACAUCUGUGGAGGAAGAUUCCCCUUGAGAAGGGUUAAUAAAAGAGCACAAUAAUGUUGAUUGACUUGAAUCACAAAACGACAGGGAAGUAGAUGAGAUGAUCUCUGCCCAGCUGCCUGCUCAGGCUCUAACUUUGCGUGUAGCUUGUGGACAUGGAUCAGCUUAUACUGCACACACAUGGAACAUACCUCACGAUCAAACUCCUUUGCUAUUUUAUGCUUAUAAAACAUGCACACAUCGUUGUGCUACUUGUACACAGUUACAUUUAAGGGUGUUAUGCAGUAAACAUAAAACAGGGUCAGUGGGCCUUGGAUACCUGGCAGGUCGAUUAUAUGGGCCCCCUGCUCCCAUCUAGGGGGUGAUAAUAUGCAUACACUGCUGUGGAUACAGUGUCAGGACUAACUACAGGGGAAAUGGAAUUAUUCACACCAAUGGAUUGUGAAGUGGGACCACAGUCUCUUGAUACAGAUGUGAAAAUUCAGUUCUUGUAUUUCAGGUGACUUCAGUGAACACCUGUACCUUUUCUAGAGGAGACGAUGUUGGAACAGUGUUACCAGUGUCAAGAAUGCAGCAUUGCAUUGAAGUUCAAUCUGAAAAAGCACAAGACAGAGCUCUGCAAACCGUGACAUUAGGUUAUGAGACCCAGAACAACAUAAGCUGCAGGAGCUGGAGCAAUGCUUAUGUAUUACUGGAAGGUGAUGACACCUCUGUUUUCCUUCCCUACCACAGGUUGGCCCAUCAUACUUUGCAGCCUUGUACUACAAGCGUGUGCCCUGGAUAUGUUUCUGCAAGACCAAUAUAUAUACUUAAAUUUGGUCAGCCUAUGCUGUGACUAACUCAUCUGUCUUUUGUAUUAAGGGAAGACUUACAGCUGCAGAUUUUUUGACAAAAUGUUUUAUUAGUAUGACAACCCCUGUAGCUGUAUUACAGAAUUAAACUAUGCUAAAGGAUUUUGAUAUUAA